AGCCGGGAGCUACCAGCCUUGCAGUGCAGCCAUCUGAAAUACCCCUCUGGAGUCCUGCAGUGGUGUAGUCGCUGCUCUGAUCAUGACCCUUAAUGUCUAGAGAUAAUUUUGGCCCAGCUGUUAGAAACCACAUUAGACUUUAUUUCAUCUGAUAUGUAGGCAGUUAUUUAAUUUUUACUUUUCUGUGUUAUUAACUGUAUGCAGGAAGCAGCUUUUAGCCCUGCUUCACUGCUUCAAAAUAAAAACCCUCAUGCUUUAAAUUGCAUGGUGUGUACAAGGUGGGUGACAGGUUACAGGAUUGUGCUCCUUCCUACAUGGUGACACUUCCAAAUCUUUAAUAUGACCACCGAAAAUGAUCCCGGGGGACUAUUCAGGAUGGUUGAAUCUGCAGUAAGUUUGCAGUUUGUUGAAAAUACCUGGCAGCAGUGCCUCAUAUUUAAGUGUAUAUGUGUUUGUAAUGGGUUUCUGUGGCUGGCUCUUUAGGAUACGGUUUUCUUCUGCUAACCUGAAAUACAACUUCUGAAACAUAAACCCCCCAGAACAGAAUUUAUUUUCUGGGGAGUAUGAUUGUCACUUUGUUUGAUUUUUGUAUAUUAAACUGGUUUUGUUUCAAUUUUUAAGUGUAGAGGGUUGUGUAUAUAUAUAUAUAUGUGUGUGUAUAUAUAUAUAUAUAACCUUGUCUAGGGAAAAGUCCAUAGCUAUAUGUAUGCAUGGAGUUACUUAGAACAGCAGGGAUAAAGCUGUGGUGGUAUUUGCGUGGCAGAUUCUGAUUGUGCUGAAAACCCCUCUAGAUCAUUAAUUUGAAGAUGCCAUGUAUGAAAUUUGAAGUUAUUGCAGGCUAUCCAGGAGAGCAUAGCUGCUCCCCCCCCCCCGCUGUCUGCGGUUACCAUUCCAGGUUACAGUGGAAGAAAUCUUGGUGGGAGAGCAGAGAGCAUUCUACUGUUCCUGCAUGGCAUAUGAAGAGAGAGGGCUUUCCUUUGCUGAGUGGGUUGUCUGAGUCCCAUCUCAUGUUUUUUAAAUUCUGUGUUUAAAAUCAUCUUCAUGGGAAGAAAUCUCUCUUGUGGCAUAAUAGCUUCAGGCUGGGUUUUGAAUAUUGAUUUUCCACUUACACACCUGAUUUAAAUGUGUCGCAUCAGAUUAAGAAACAGCAUGUUAUUGGCAGGACAGCUUCUUUGCACAUGAAAUGGUUGUAGAGGGUGGCAGAUACUAUAGUUGGGAACUGUGUAAUAGGAAUGAAGUUUUGCCACACUGGUGGAGCUCUGUGGCAUCUGGGGAGGUCUGGAUCCACACUGUGUGGCAUGGAUCUGAUUCCAGAAGGGAAGUGAAUGGGGCUUUCUGGUGGUAGAGGCUCAGGAUGCUGUUCCUGGCUCCUCACAGGCUGCGUCCAUUGCCCUGGAUGGGAAACCUCAAACAUGCAAUUCGGGCUUCAAGGAGGCCAUGCUGGCACAUGGAUUUAAUCCACUAAAAGGCAAUGUUCACAGCCUGGAGGUCCCAAUAUCAAGCAUGGUGGGAAGCUCAUCACAGGUUGUCUUCCAGUUGGAUAUUAAAGCCAGAGGCCACAUUUUGAGAACUGCAUGUGGAGCUGCCGAAGCUGGUGAGGGAGAGCCUCAGUGGAAGCUGAGCUUCUCAGCUCACAAAUGGUGUCAGGGCUUCUGGAGGCACUUAAAACAGUUGCUGGACAAUUUCCUUGGUGGGGAGGGGGGCGAGAGGGGGAAAGUAGGUACAGCAAGCAUUACACAGUUUGAUUCACUUAGAGAUUGCUAGUGGCUGAGUCUCCUUGCAGCCAGAGUGAGUCACAGAAGAAAUGGUGAAGAGUAGCUUUUGGUAUAAGCUGUGGUUUUAGUAAUAUGAUAGAAAUUAUGCCAAUAACAAGUGAUAAAAAGGUGACUGUUUUACUCCAGACAUUAUAAUGUGAGGUGUGGACUUGAGACACUGGACUGGGGGUCUCCAGCCAUUGCUGGAUGACGUGGAUCAUCCAUCACUGUUUGCUCUGCUUUAGCUUUAACGUCUGUUGCACCUGGGCAGUUUUGAAGAGCUUGGUGGUUUGUGAACUCCCAUGCUGUGUAAUCAAAAAAAAGAUACAAAUUUGUAUACAUGUCUCUAUAAUCUGACUGUCUUUGUUUCCAUUUGCAGGUAAAGUUACUAGCUUAAGCCAAAUAAAAUACUUUGUGAUUCACUCCCACAUAGUGAUGUCUGUUGUUCUCUAUUGUGACAUAGUAACUUAAACAAAAAGGAAAAAAAAUAAAACCCCUUUAAUUGUAA